rnacentral:rRNA from 1 species
AUUGAACGCUGGCGGUAGGCCUAACACAUGCAAGUCGAACGCGAAAGUCCUUGGAUGAGUAGAGUGGCGGACGGGUGGAGUAACGCGUAGGAAUCUAUCCUGUAGUGGGGGAGUAACGUUUCGAAAGGAACGCUAAUACCGCAUACGCCCCAAGGGGAAAGGCGGGGAGUCUUCGGACCUCGUGCUAUAGGAGGAGCCUGCGUCGGAUUAGCUAGUUGGUGAGGUAAAGGCUCACCAAGGCGACGAUCCGUAGCUGGUCUGAGAGGAUGAUCAGCCACACCGGAACUGAGACACGGUCCGGACUCCUACGGGAGGCAGCAGUGGGGAAUAUUGCGCAAUGGGCGAAAGCCUGACGCAGCCAUACCGCGUGUGUGAAGAAGGCCUUC